GUCCUCCGCGCCUGCGCUGGCGUCCGGCGUCCUCCACUUCCAUUCCCGGCGGAGGCGGUGCGGGCAGCCGGGGUCCCGGGGGUUCCGGACCGUACUGCCGCGCGCCCCGCGUCUCAGCCUCUGCCUCCGCACACCCCAGGCCGCCCGGCCACGCGCACUGCCCGGGAAGUGCCGCUGCCCUCACCCUGAGUAACUUCAGUGCUGGCUAAUUGGAAGACACCAGCCUCGGGCUGCUGAUCUUUCUGGAAAGUUUUAACUGUGAAGGAGAAAGAAAACGUCUUAGCUUCAGAAGACAGGCGUGCCUGGAGGGGAUGGCAGACAGGUCGACCGGCCUGGCUUUCUAAGAAGUGGAGAGGAGGCUGGAGGAGCAUAAGUAGGUCCUGAGGGUAUCUGAACCCCAACCAGGUCAGUCCUGUCCAGCUUCACCCAGCGCAGUUCUUGGAAGGGAAGAAGUGGACCAUGAAGACCAUCUGGUCCAGUGCCCUCAGGUUUGGCCUGAGAGGUGGGCCCUGGGUGAGCACGUGGCUGUCAGGACUCAACCCAGUGUUCAUUCCAUGACUGCACUGUACAGCCGUCAUCUGCACACAGUCUGCUGUGACCACAGAGAGGGCCUGGAGAGUUUCUAAGAUUCACCAAGAAUUACAUCUACAAACCCGUUGAAUCGCACAGAACACCUACUGAACUCUGGCAGAGUGUCUCACUUCUAAAUACAGAAGGAUUCUCACAAAAUCUGCCUCCAGCCAGAUUGCCUCUGAUAUCCAAAGGGUCACAUGUGUUUGGAAGCCACUGAAGAAGUGACACCGAGCAGCUUCUGCAGGACAGGCAGCCUCCUCCCCUCCCCUUCUUUUCUAUCUUGUUUCUCCCUCCAGAAUUGCUGCCUGACUCCCUUUCAUCUGAGCCCCUCCCUCCGCCCAUCAUCAGAGCUACUUCAUUCCUUCUGAUUAGUUCUCACUGUCAGGCCCAAAGACAGAACCACCCAAUUCGAUUUUUUUAAAACAUUCUAAUCUUUUUCAAAAAAUUGAAGCAUAGUUGGUUUUACAAUGUUGUGUUAAUAUGUGGUGUACAGCAUAGUGAUUCAGUUAUACAUAUGCCUUUUCAUAGUCUUUUUCAUUAUAGGCUAUUACAAGAUAUUGAAUAUCGUUCCCUGUGCUGUACAGUAGGACUUGUUGUUUAUCUAUUUUAUAUAUAGUAGUUAGUGUCUGCAAAUCUCGAACUCCCAAUUUAUCCCUCCAACCCCCAUUCCCCUGCUGGUAACCAUAAGUUUGUUUUCUAUGUCUGUGAGUCUCUUUCUGUUUUAUAAAUAAGUUCAUUUGUGUCAUGUUUUUAGAUUCCACAUAUAAGGGAUAUCAUAUGGUAUUUUUCUUUUUCUUUCUGGCUUGCUUUACUUAGUAUGAUAAUCUCCAGGUCCACCCAUGUUGCUGCAAAUGACAUUUUAUUUUUUAUGGCUGAGUAGUAUUCCAUUGUGUGGAAUACUUCUUUAUCCAGUCAUUAGUUGAUGGACAUUUAGGUUGCUUUCAUGUCUUUGGUACUGUAAAAUAGUGCUGCUGUGAACAUUGGGUUGCAUAUUUCUUUUCAAAUUAGAAUAAAAUGUUCUAAUCUUAAAUACAUAUAUGUGUGUUAUGUUAGCAGCAUAUGUAACUUUCUUCUCCAAAAGGCUGCUCUGGGGAAUUCUGCUUAUGUCACUGUUCUUGGCUUUCUGUCGAAUAAAUAAAAGAGUGCUCUGUGCCUGGGGGCUUUACAUCCCUCCCUCCCUUACUUCCUUGCCCCAGCUUCAUUCCUUCCUGGAAUACUUACUGAGCACCUGCAGUUAGCUAAGCACAGUUCUAGGUGCUGGACACUGUUCUAGAAAAGCAUUACCUCCGUUAAUCCUUACAAUAAUGUGAGGUUAACAUUAUUAUUCCUAUUUUACAUAUGUGAGAACUGCAGCUCAUAGAGGUUAAAUAGUUGUCUGAAAUGACAUAACUGGUACAGUGCAAAACUUGUCUGUCUCUAACAUGUAAUCUUUAUGAUGCUAUAAGCUAUUAGCAGACAGUAUCGCUUUGUAAUCCGAUCUAGUAAAUUAACAUGCCUAAUUCUUCAUGCCACAGGAGACUCUAAAAAUUGAUUUGUUAAUGAUGACAACCAAUGAUCAAGACCCUGAUCACUUAGGGAACAAGUUGAGAAUGAAUUUCUGUCCCUCUUCACUCCUCAAUAACCAUGGAAUUUUGACAUGCCAUUUGUUUUUCCUUUUGGUACCAAGCUAGUGGGGAGCGAGUAUGUCAGAAUUAUCUGUAGGCCGUGACUUGAGUGAUAUCUGCAAAUUGUCCAUAGUUAAUAUACAGCUUGUUUUAUAAAUAUGGCCCUAACAGUGACAAGUGCAGGAGUGGUCUGCAGGGCCAGGGUUAGAGUGGAGGUGGGGUGGGUGAGAGCCAGAAAUCAAAAUUCAAAGACAGUGACAUCCUCGCAGGACUCCACACAGCAGACUCAGCUCAUUCAUCUCAGCAGCUGCCCAGUGUUUCCUGCCAUCCAGCCAUCCAGCACCAGCAUGAGGACAAAAUGUGCUUCCUCAAGUUAUAAAUACUGUGUUAAAGUAAUACCCUCUGAGAAAGGCUUGAGUUUCAGGAGCAUCACCUCAUGCCCUGUGCUGCAUUUCUUGUGAGAAACAGUCUUCCAUCUGGAGUCUCACUGCAUCUGCAGCGUGGCAGACAGUGCAGCACUAACUUGGCUUUAAUUUCCAAACCAGACUCAGGUGGGAAUGAACAAGGGUGUAGCCAUUUCCUUCCCACUGGCAAGGCUUCAGCUUCCCCCAGGCCCCUUUACUCACCCCGGCCCGCUCCAAAGCGGUCACGCUGAGUGACCACCACCCAGAGGUCCACAUCACACUUCACCUCUGAGCAGCACGCACUGGGUACCAGCCCACCUUCCUCCAAACAGGCCCUCCUGGCAUCCGGGAGACAUCCCUCUCAGUCCUUCUGCCUGGCUCACCCCGACACCGCUCGGCCUCUGCCCUGCCCUCCAUACUGUCCGCACUGACUGCCCAAACCCCUGAUUGGCCCACAGGCCCCAGGUGACCCGGUACACUCCUACCUCUAUUUUAUAACUACACAGAAUUUUAUCCUUACUAAUGCUUUUUUGGGGGGGCCCUACACCUGCACUGUCUGAUAGUUACCCCAUUUUCUUCUGGUUAAUGUUGUUGUAGUAUCUCUGUCAUAUUAUUUUUAGCCAUUUGGUGGUGUUUGCUCCUCACGCAGCAUGUAACUGCUUAAUUUUUUUUUAAUCUAGCUGAUUAUAUUUUAGUAUUUAAAUGUAAUCUUAAUCCAUGUAUAUUUAUGGUAAUACCUGUGGUUUUAUAACUUCCUUCUUGUCAUUGUUACCUGGAAUUUUAGUUCCACCUUUUGAUAUAAACAUGAGGAAAAUAGUUACUUUCGUGGUCCUUAUUAAAUUAUAUUUAUAUUUAUAUUUUUACUAAUUUAUAUGCCAUUUCAACAAUUCCAAUACUCACUAUUCUUCCAUGCAGCCUACAACUUCCCUCUGGGAUCACUUCUCUUCUUGUAAUAUGCAUUAUUUAACAAUUCUUUUAGCAAGAUUCUUUGUACUUCUUAAAAUAUCUUCAUCUCAUUCCUAUUCUUGAAAGAUAGUUUAGCUACAGAGAAGUCUCUCUUGACAAUUAUUCUCUUUUGCAUGUUGAAGAUACUAUUCCAUGUGUUCUGGCAUCAAGGGCUGUUGAUGAGAGAUGUCUGCAACCUAACUGAAAUCAGGCUUUGAGAUCCUCUAUCCUUGAUGUUGGGAAGUUUCACUACAAUACGUCCAAGUUUGGAUUUCUUUUAUUGAUCCUGCUCAGUCCUAGGGAGUAUGCUUUCAAUUUGAGAACUCAAGUCUUUUUAAAAUUCUGGCAAAAUAAAAAUUUGUUGGCUGUUUGUUUGGUUCUUUUGUUGAGAACCUCUUACUAGAAGUUUAUUGGAGAAUCUCAAAAUAUCUUUCAUGCCUCUUGGCUGCUUUUUCACAUUUUUUAAAAUUUCUUUUUUCUCUCUCUGCUGCAU